GCCCGCCUAGCUCAAUCGGAUAGAGCGUGAGACUUUUAAGGCGCGGCUAUGCAGUCAUCCUUGACAUCUCAAGGCUGCGGGUUCGACCCCCGCGGUGGGCU
rfam:Phlebiopsis gigantea 11061_1 CR5-6 unplaced genomic scaffold PHLGIscaffold_74, whole genome shotgun sequence.